rnacentral:rRNA from 1 species
AUACGGAGGAUGCGAGCGUUAUCCGGAUUUAUUGGGUUUAAAGGGUGCGUAGGCUGUGCGUUAAGUCAGGGGUGAAAUGCCGUCGCUCAACGACGGAGCUGCCCUUGAUACUGGCGUGCUGGAGUACGGAUGCCGUUGGAGGAAUGAGUGGUGUAGCGGUGAAAUGCUUAGAUAUCACUAAGAACACCGAUUGCGAAGGCAUCUGGCGAAUCCGUCACGGUCGCUGAGGCACGAAUGCGUGGGGAUAGAACAGGAUUAGAUACCCUGGUAUUCCACGCCGUAAACGACGAUGACUAACCGUCGGCGAUAGACAGCCGGUGGCCAAGCGAAAGCGAUAAGUCAUCCACCUGGGGAGUACGUCGGCAACGAUGAAACUCAAAUGAAUUGACGGGG